CUACGGGUGGCUCCAGUGGGGAAUAUUGCACAAUGGGCGCAAGCCUGAUGCAGCCAUGCCGCGUGUAUGAAGUAGGCCUUCGGGUUGUAAAGGACUUUCAGCGGGGAGGAAGGGAGUAAAGUUAAUACCUUUGCUCAUUGACGUUACCCGCAGAAGAAGCACCGGCGAACUCCGUGCCAGCAGCCGCGGUAAUACGGAGGGUGCAAGCGUUAAUCGGAAUUACUGGGCGUAAAGCGCACGCAGGCGGUUUGUUAAGUCAGAUGUGAAAUCCCCGGGCUCAACCUGGGAACUGCAUCUGAUACUGGCAAGCUUGAGUCUCGUAGAGGGGGGUAGAAUUCCAGGUGUAGCGGUGAAAUGCGUAGAGAUCUGGAGGAAUACCGGUGGCGAAGGCGGCCCCCUGGACGAAGACUGACGCUCAGGCGCGAAAGCGUGGGGAGCAAACAGGAUUAGAUACCCCCGUAGUC
rnacentral:rRNA from 1 species